rnacentral:tRNA from 1 species
GAAAUAUAAUAAAUAUUAAGCUUCUAACUUAAUUAUAAAGCAUGGAUUGUUUGUAUUUCU